UAGGGAAUCUUCGGCAAUGGGGGCAACCCUGACCGAGCAACGCCGCGUGAGUGAAGAAGGUUUUCGGAUCGUAAAGCUCUGUUGUAAGUCAAGAACGAGUGUGAGAGUGGAAAGUUCACACUGUGACGGUAGCUUACCAGAAAGGGACGGCUAACUACGUGCCAGCAGCCGCGGUAAUACGUAGGUCCCGAGCGUUGUCCGGAUUUAUUGGGCGUAAAGCGAGCGCAGGCGGUUUGAUAAGUCUGAAGUUAAAGGCUGUGGCUCAACCAUAGUUCGCUUUGGAAACUGUCAAACUUGAGUGCAGAAGGGGAGAGUGGAAUUCCAUGUGUAGCGGUGAAAUGCGUAGAUAUAUGGAGGAACACCGGUGGCGAAAGCGGCUCUCUGGUCUGUAACUGACGCUGAGGCUCGAAAGCGUGGGGAGCGAACAGGAUUAGAUACCCUGGUAGUCCACGCCGUAACGAUGAGUGCUAGGUGUUGGAUCCUUUCCGGGAUUCAGUGCCGCAGCUANNGCAUUAAGCACUCCGCCUGGGGAGUACGACCGCAAGGUU
rnacentral:rRNA from 1 species